AUUGAACGCUGGCGGCAGGCCUAACACAUGCAAGUCGAGCGGUUGACGGGAGCUUGCUCCCUGAUUCAGCGGCGGACGGGUGAGUAAUGCCUAGGAAUCUGCCUAUUAGUGGGGGACAACGUUUCGAAAGGAACGCUACUACCGCAUACGUCCUACGGGAGAAAGCAGGGGACCUUCGGGCCUUGCGCUAAUAGAUGAGCCUAGGUCGGAUUAGCUGGUUGGUGAGGUAAUGGCUCACCAAGGCUACGAUCCGUAACUGGUCUGAGAGGAUGAUAAUUCACAAUGGAACUGAGAAACGGGCCAGACUCCUACGGGAGGCAGCAGUGGGGAAUAUUGGACAAUGGGCGAAAGCCUGAUCCAGCCAUGCCGCGUGUGUGAAGAAGGUCUUCGGAUUGUAAAGCACUUUACGUUGGGAGGAAGGGUUGUAGAUUAAUACUCUGCAAUUUUGACGUUACCGACAGAAUAAGCACCGGCUAACUCUGUGCCAGCAGCCGCCGUAACAC
rnacentral:rRNA from 1 species